CUACCCUUUUUUUUUUCUGUACCCCUACUCCAAAAUCAAAACCUUUAUAAAUAAAGAAUUUAUAAAAAAAAAAAAAUUGUAGAGUAACAUGAAUAUAUAACAUGAAAACACAGGAUAAACCAGCAACGUCACAACACACGCCAGUUGUCAUUGGUGGUGCAGGAGUCAAUGUCCCUUAGUUGUGCACAGAUCGGUCAUAAUGCUCCGUCGUGCUGUUCAGGUCACCCUUAAGGACGCGAGCAGGGCAAGUCUCUGUGAGUGAACAAGAGAGGGCAGGUAACUGUUGCCUGGGGGCAAGAAGAAACAAUUGUCAAUUGUCAUUUUUAUUCUUUUGUAGAUACCUCUGUCUUGCAUCAGUUACUAGUGAUUUUUCUUUGGCUAGAUCUUUCUUAAUAGUCAUACUUACCGCUAUCACCGUCAAAUCAGAUCCUUCUCACAGAGAAGCACUGAGGACACAAGGAGUGCAUGCGUCAAUCUCCGUGAUCUGUCAAUCCAAUGUUUCCC